CAGGGCAGCGUUUGUCGCGCUCAAGCAGAAGACUGACGCUGUCAAGGAAACGCUCACGCUGAGCGCAUCGUUCCGAGAGUUACAAACAACUGAACCUGCCUCGCGCACCGUUAUCCACAUCAGUCGUUGCAGAAAAUAGCAGUUAAGCGAUGCAUGCGAUGUAACAAUACAGAGGGAGAGCAAAAUACGAACCGAAAUCACAGAGACGCCGCGCCAGCGCUUGUUAUAUACAGCAGUAGUCAGUCAUGCCGCUGGUGAAGAGGAGUAUCGAGCCCAAGCACCUGUGUCGAGGAGCUCUGCCUGAUGGAGUGCCCAGUGAACUGGAGUGUGUCACCAACAGCACCCUGGCAGCCAUCAUCAAACAACUGGGCAGCCUGAGUCGUCACGCAGAGGACAUCUUUGGAGAGCUGUUUAAUGAAGCCAACAGUUUCUACAUGCGUAUGAAUAACCUGCAAGAGAGAGUGGACCUGCUGGCUAUCAAAGUCACCCAACUGGACUCCACAGUGGAAGAGGUCUCUCUGCAAGAUAUCAACAUGAGGAAGGCCUUCAAGAGCUCCACCAUUCAGGACCAACAGGUGGUUUCCAGAAACUCCAUCCCUAAUCCUGUGCUGGAGCUCUACCACCGUGGAGACAAACCUCCCCCUCUCAAUAUUCUCAGCCCUUACAGAGAUGAUAAGAAGGAUGCACUGAAGUUCUACACAGACCCCUCCUACUUCUUUAACCUCUGGAGGGAGAAAAUGCUGCAAGCCACAGAGGACAAGAGAAAAGAAAAGAGGAGACAGAAGACCAGCGGCUCAGGCCAGACUCACUCAGACCAGACUAAGUCCCACUCCAGGCAGGCCCAUCUCAGAAGCCCCCUCCUAUCCUCUGAGCAGCAGAAGCAGGUGGAGGACCCCAGUCGGGAGGUGAAAAAGGUUCGUAAGGCUCGGAAUCGUAGGCAGGAGUGGAACGUAAUGGCGUAUGAUAAGGAGUUCCGCCCAGACGCCCGUUUCACACCUUCUCCGUACCACGGCAUGUCCUCUGAGGGCUCUCUUUCCCCAGACAACAGGUCGGUUGCCUCAGACAUGGGUGAGCACUCUUACCCAGGCAGCCCCAGUCACCCGGCUCAGCAGAUGGCUGUGACCAGCGCUUACUCCGCUGCCGAUGGCAAAGAGCACCUCAUGGCCCCCUCUCAUGUCCAGACCCAGUCCCUGGACCGUGGGUAUCGGCCACCCGCUUCCUCCUCCGCUCCACCUGGGAGACAGACCAUUGGCAGGGUUCAGACCUCCCAUGGACAAGCAGUCACAGACCCCGCUCUCAACGGGCCACGUCCCCUGCAGGCUAAAGACUACAGUGGUCAGCAGUCUAAGCAUCGAGAGUAUUUCGUACCUCCUGCUCCUCCUCCACCUCCUCCUCUCAUUCCCUCUGCCCAGACUGCCUUUGACAGUCCCACUGGCCCCUCCUCUGCCCCAGCCAGCGCCAUGCCAUCUCUUUCCCAGACUUACAACCCUUCUCCUCCGACCCCUGCCCUCCCUGCUUCCUACACCCCUUCCCCAACCCAUCCUCCUCCCGCAGCCCCCCCUCCACCUCCACCUGGGCCGCCCACACACCCCCACCCGCACCCUCACUCACACACCAUGCCCGCUGCCCCUGCGGAAGCACCGGUUGUCCCCAGGAAGGGCCAGGUGCCUCUCAUCCCAAUGAGCGAUGCACGCAGCGACCUGCUGGCGGCCAUCAGACGAGGGAUCCAGCUGCGCAAGGUGCAAGAACAGCGGGAGCAGGAAGCAAAGAAGGAGCCGGUUGGAAAUGACGUAGCCACUAUAUUGUCCCGUCGCAUCGCCGUGGAGUACAGCGAAUCUGACGAAGACUCUGAGCUGGACGAAAAUGAGUGGUCUGACUGAGACAGGAAAACAACAAUAGAAGAAUAAAAAAACAUGAAGUAAGCGUUAGGGCGUAGGUUUCAGAGAACAGAAUUAUCACAACUAAUGUAGCAUGCCGAUGUCUGUCUGCAGUAAUCUAACACAGCUCCUGUGUUUUUUGUUUUUUUUUUAAAAGGGGCUGCGUAACUACAAAGUCUCAACGAGACAGAACCAGAAACUUUUAAAUUUUAGAUUGUACAUCUUAAAUUGAAGCCUUGACAGUGAAGUUUAAUGAGAGUUUUGACCCCAUAAAACAAUGUCCGUUAGAGAUCGGCUCCUCUACGCAGCGGGCUUGAGUCCACUGCCUGACACUAUUCAUCACAUACUCUGAAUGUGGUGGUCCUACCAUCUGUCCUCUCUCCUGCACUCUCUCUCUCUCACUAACCUUAGAAUAUGACCUCAUAAUUAUUAGAACAGCCAGCUGGAUGAUCAUGCAAUGUUAAUUUUAGUCCUACUCGCUCAGGACUACAACUUGAAGGACAGAGAAUAUAGACGUAAAUGUAUUUAAGGCUAAUAUACUAAGCAUUUACGUUAAAAAAAAUUAUAUUCAAGCCCAAAGAAAUGGCUGCAUUUUAUUCUCUUGAAUGCAUGUUGACCAAGUAUCAAGCAGAUAGCAAACCAGUUGAAAUUAACAUUGCAAGUCUAAAAAGCAAUAUUCUUGAGCGAUUUGCUCCGAUAGAGCACAAACACACAGUAGAUGUUUAGUUAGAUUUUCAUUUGUUGAUUAAAAUUUAUAAAAGUUAUUCAUGUUUGCAUUCCAAAUAUCCCAACUAAUUGAAAAGCAUGGAUAGACAAUCUGAAUCAGUGAAAUUCUGUUGGAAAUAUAACAUUUUCUGUAUCUUAAAAAAUGCAGAGAGGCUUGGUGGUGAUGCUUUACGUUCGUUAUUGGUGAUGCUAUUUCCCCAGAUGUAACUAAUUUAAAUAAUUUAACCCAUUUUAAUGGAUUGGAAUGAUUUUUCAUUUGCUUUCUUGGCUUCAAGUAAAAAGAUUUGUUACUGUACUGGUGCAUUCUGAAUCCACCAAUACAUAAUCACAAAUUGUGAUUGCUGCUACUUGUAGACAAUUAAUUGUAGUGCAACUACAAAAGACAACAAAACUGGGCUCUUAUUCAUCUAUAGCCUCAUUAAACACAAUACUUUAAUGUUUUGAGGUACAAGUGGUGCUGUGGUGGUAAUUAUAGAUUGUAUCUUUAAUUGUGUCAGAAUCAAUUUCUUUAUGUUGUUUUUUUUUUUCCUCCUGGUCUCUUCAGGGAUGGAAAAAAAUCCUAGUUUUCUGUGUCUUUUCAAAUGGAUACAAUGCGUGGCCAUCGGUCCCCUAAAGGAUCAAACUGUUCGCUUGUCAGUGAUCUCACUAUAACCACAGUAGAUGUCACUGCAUGGUUACCAAGGCAACAAACAGCAUAAUUAAGCAGGCAACAAUGAAAACAGCUGUGCUCUUACCUGUUUGACCUGGUAAUGUGUACCCAUAAACAUAAAUAGAAAUUAACAAUGUGCUCUGUAAGAACAGUUGGUUUGCAUUUUUGGUUUUUAGUUUUGUUUGCCAGUGUUUUAAUUUGGAAUCAUCUUGCCCUCUGAGGCAUUUGAAAUGCUAUAUAUGCUAAUUUGUACAGAAUAAGAGCACUUCAGUAUUUCAGCUUUUAUUUUCUAUUUAUUUGCUUAAAUGUGUCUCUCACUGCACAAAUAGGGAGGCUUUGAGUUAACCUCUCCCAACUUAACAGCUAUCAUGAGCUGUGUGUUUAGCCUGUGUUUUGUAUGUAAAGAAUGAAGUCCUUUGUGUUUUAAACAAUGUGAUGUAUAGAACUUUGUUAAAAUGGCAGAACUUUGAUUUAUAUAGUUAAGAAACAGUAUGAAAAUUAAUGUAUCAAAAAAAAAUAUAUAUAUAUAAUGUCGGCAAGUGCU